GGAAGUAAAAAAUCGUAACAAGGUCUCCGUUGGUGAACCAGCGGAGGGAUCAUUACCGAGUUUAC
rnacentral:rRNA from 1 species